AGCUUGUUGGUGAGGUAACGGCUCACCAAGGCAUCGACGGGUAGCUGGUCUGAGAGGACGAUCAGCCACACUGGGACUGAGACACGGCCCAGACUUCUACGGAAGGCAGCAGUAGGGAAUCUUGCGCAAUGGGCGAAAGCCUGACGCAGCAACGCCGCGUGGGGGAUGAAGGCCUUCGGGUCGUAAACCCCUUUCAGCAGGGACGAAAAUGACGGUACCUGCAGAAGAAGGUCCGGCCAACUACGUGCCAGCAGCCGCGGUAAUACGUAGGGACCAAGCGUUGUCCGGAAUUAUUGGGCGUAAAGAGCUCGUAGGCGGUUCGGUAAGUCGGGUGUGAAAAUCCAGGGCUCAACCCUGGGACGCCACCCGAUACUGCUGUGACUAGAGUCCGGUAGAGGAGUGUGGAAUUCCUGGUGUAGCGGUGAAAUGCGCAGAUAUCAGGAGGAACACCAGCGGCGAAGGCGGCACUCUGGGCCGGUACUGACGCUGAGGAGCGAAAGCAUGGGGAGCAAACAGGAUUAGAUACCCUGGUAGUCCAUGCCGUAAACGUUGGGCACUAGGUAUGGGGUCUUAUCAACGGAUUCCGUGCCGUAGCUAACGCAUUAAGUGCCCCGCCUGGGGAGUAC
rnacentral:rRNA from 1 species